CGGAGGGUGCAAGCGUUAUCCGGAUUCACUGGGUUUAAAGGGUGCGUAGGCGGGCAGGUAAGUCAGUGGUGAAAUCUCAGAGCUUAACUCUGAAACUGCCAUUGAUACUAUCUGUCUUGAAUGUUCUGGAGGUGAGCGGAAUAUGUCAUGUAGCGGUGAAAUGCUUAGAUAUGACAUAGAACACCAAUUGCGUAGGCAGCUCACUACGGAAAUAUUGACGCUGAGGCACGAAAGCGUGAGGAUCAAACAGGAUUAGAUACCCUGGUAGUUCACGCCCUAAACGAUGGAUACUCGACAUACGCGAUACACAGUGUGUGUCUGAGCGAAAGCAUUAAGUAUCCCACCUGGGAAGUACGACCGCAAGGUUG
rnacentral:rRNA from 1 species